rnacentral:rRNA from 1 species
AUUGAACGCUGGCGGCAGGCCUAACACAUGCAAGUCGAACGAGUGGCGGACGGGUGAGUAAUGUCUGGGAAACUGCCUGAUGGCGGGGGAUAACUACUGGAAACGGUAGCUAAUACCGCAUACCGUCGGUUGUACCUGGAUGGGAUUAGCUAGUAGGGGGGGUAAAGGCUCACCUAGGCGACGAUCACUAGCUGGUCUGAGAGGAUGACCAGCCACACUGGAACUGAGACACGGUCCAGACUCCUACGGGAGGCAGCAGUGGGGAAUAUUGCACAAUGGGCGCAAGCCUGAUGCAGCCAUGCCGCGUGUAUGAAGAAGGCCUUCGGGUUGUAAAGUACUUUCAGCGGGGAGGCGUUACCCGCAGAAGAAGCACCGGCUAACUCCGUGCCAGCAGCCGCGGUAAUUC